CACCCGCAGCACUCCCGUGGGAGCUCCUGACACACAGCUACGGAGGGAGCACAGGCAGAAACAUUGCUACAGCUUUUUUAUUCUUCCCCCCCCCCCCCUUUUUUUUUUUCCCCCCCCCCCCCCCCCCCCCCCUUUUCCCAUCAGGGUUACCACUCUCCCUCCCCACUCCUACGGAGAGGUCUGAAGUCUCACUGAAUCAGCAGUUGUGAACAGUCUCCGUGCUGUUAAUGGUUUGCAUCUUUUUGCAUCAAAGGGUAAAAAUCACUUAGGGACACGCACACAAUGAAAAGAUCAUAUACAGUAAUGCAUCCAAGCAGAAAAAGACAAAAAGGAAAAAAAGAAAAAAAGAAAAAAAAAAAAAGGUUGUAAUGCUCAUGAAUUCCAGAUGACGACUUUUGAAAUCCCCGAGAAGGCGGUGAAAUUGUUUGAUUGUUCUUGUUAAUUAUUGGACUCGUCCCAGCAUCAAAUAUUUGCGGGAGAUAAGGCUUCCCCUACGAACAACAACCCGCCUUGCUCCUCUCGGCUCGGAUCCGCUCGGCUCGGCUCGGGGCGGUCCCGCCGUGCCCACUCGCGGCCAGCCGGCUCGCACCAGCACGUGGGGCAAGCCAAAAAAGAAAAAAACACCAAAAGACCUCGCGGGUGGGCGGCUGGGGGGGACGGGACCCGCGGGUGGGCAGCGGGGGGACCCCGAGCGGGGCCGGUCCCCCCGCGCCGGCAGCGCGCUGCCCGCCGCCUGUUUGAAGUACGGGGCGGAACGAGCGGCAGCCGAGAGGGACCAAGGCGGCACCCCACGACCCGCGCACCCCACGGCCCGCCCCACAGCCCGCACGCACCCCACACAUCCCACAACCCACCCGUGAAGCCUCCGGGGGGCGGCCGGCCGGGCCCCCGCCGGGCCAGCCCCGGGUCGCGGCGGCGCUCACCCGAGAUGGCGGACAGGAGGACAAGUAGAAGCUGAAGUGCGUCCAUCCCAGAACAACUGUGAAUUAAGUCUCUACAAUCAAUGACAAUUCUGGCAUUGGAAACUGGGGCAGAAGCUACUUUUUCCAAGUGAUCGAGUUACCACAGUGUAAAGAUUUUCCAAGGCAGUUGCAACAGCCUGAGAGCAUCCCCACAGGAAGUUACGGCUCAGUUGGCACAUGGUAAACCAUGAAGCUGUGGUAAGUUUGUCUCACCAUCAUGUCUGCAAAUGCUUGGGAGGUGCCUUUAUCCAGAGCAUAUUAACAUUCAUUUUCUCUAAUGCUGGGUUUAAGCUUACUACAGCUGAGUGAAGAAGGCGAAGAUAGUCUGAAAGACUACCCCCAGGAACUAAGUAACAAUAAAUCAGAGCUUGGAUGCUUUUAUAUUCUCUUUAUUUUUUGCCAAAUACUACUUAGACUAUAAUAACACCUAAUUAUGAAAUUCAGCUUUUUACAUAGUGCUUUUUACUCACAGAUUUCAAAGUACUUUAUCAAAGAGGUAAGUUACUAUUAUUGCUAUUUUAUGGGUGGAGAAAUGACAACAAAAGUGGUUAAGAUCACCCACCCAAACAAAGAUCAAGCUGAAAUAAUAUAUGUGUAUGUUUU
rnacentral:lncRNA from 1 species